AUACGUAGGGUGCGAGCGUUGUCCGGAAUUACUGGGCGUAAAGCGCACGCAGGCGGCUUUUUAAGUCGGAUGUGAAAGCCCCGGGCUCAACCUGGGAAUUGCAUCUGAUACUGGGAAGCUAGAGUAUGUGAGAGGGGGGUAGAAUUCCAAGUGUAGCGGUGAAAUGCGUAGAGAUUUGGAGGAAUACCAGUGGCGAAGGCGGCCCCCUGGCAAAAUACUGACGCUCAGGUGCGAAAGCGUGGGGAGCAAACAGGAUUAGAUACCCUGGUAGUCCACGCCGUAAACGAUGUCUACUAGAUGUUCGUGGUCUUUUACCGUGAGUAUCGCAGCUAACGCAUUAAGUAGACCGCCUGGGGAGUACGGUCGCAAGAUUAAAACUCAAAUGAAUUGACGGGG
rnacentral:rRNA from 1 species